rnacentral:ncRNA from 1 species
CGAUGCUCAGGGCAAACCCGUCGCGAGGCGGGGACGCAAAGCCACGGAACCCCCAGGGUCAGCCGGGCCACCAGA